rnacentral:lncRNA from 1 species
UUUGUCAUAUAUAUAUAAUUAUGAUAUUUUAAAACUAAAAUUAUUACAAACAAUGAAAAAUGUAUACUUAGAGAAUAAUAAUGUAUAAUUAAAAUAAUAAUAAAAUUCUAAUUUUAGAAAACCUAAAUAAUAAAAUAAUAUUAUCUUUAGUUUAAAAUAAUUAUUUAAAAAUAAAUAUAAAGAAUAACUACACUUUAGUCCAUGGAG